CGGGCCUAACACAUGCAAGUCGAACGAGAAAACCUUCGGGUGAGUACAGUGGCGCACGGGUGAGGAACGCGUAGGUAAUCUACCCUCUGGCGGGGGUACAACAAUCCGAAAGGAAUGCUAAUACCGCAUAAGACCACACUUACCUCGGUGAGAGUGGUAAAAGGCGCCUCAAAGCGCCACCAGAGGAUGAGCCUGCGUCCCAUCAGCUUGUUGGUAAGGUAACGGCUUACCAAGGCUAAGACGGGUAGCUGGUCUGAGAGGAUGAUCAGCCACACUGGCACUGGAACACGGGCCAGACUCCUACGGGAGGCAGCAGUGAGGAAUAUUGGGCAAUGGGCGAAAGCCUGACCCAGCCACGCCGCGUGUGUGAUGAAGGCCUUCGGGUCGUAAAGCACUGUGGGGAGAGACGAAAAUGCGCAGGAGGAAAUGCUUGCGUACUGACGGUACCUCCUUAGCAAGCACCGGCUAACUCUGUGCCAGCAGCCGCGGUAAUACAGAGGGUGCAAACGUUGCUCGGAUUUACUGGGCGUAAAGCGCGAGUAGGCGGACUCGCAAGUCGGUUGUGAAAUCCCUGGGCUCAACCUAGGAACUGCAUCCGAAACUGCGGGUCUUGAGUAAUGGAGAGGGUGGCGGAAUUCCCGGUGUAGAGGUGAAAUUCGUAGAUAUCGGGAGGAACAUCAGUGGCGAAGGCGGCCACCUGGACAUUCACUGACGCUGAGACGCGAAAGCGUGGGGAGCAAACAGGAUUAGAUACCCUGGUAGUCCACGCCGUAAACGAUGAGAACUAGGUGCAGCGGAUAUUGACCUCUGCUGUGCCGUAGCUAACGCGUUAAGUUCUCCGCCUGGGGAGUACGGCCGCAAGGCUAAAACUCAAAGGAAUUGACGGGGGCCCGCACAAGCAGUGGAGCAUGUGGUUUAAUUCGAAGCAACGCGCAGAACCCUUACCAGGGCUAGAAAAACUGAGAAUCCUGACGAAACUCGGGAGUGCUCGCAAGA
rnacentral:rRNA from 1 species